rnacentral:rRNA from 1 species
AGUGAACGCUGGCGGUAGGCCUAACACAUGCAAGUCGAACGGCAGCACAGUAAGAGCUUGCUCUUACGGGUGGCGAGUGGCGGACGGGUGAGGAAUACAUCGGAAUCUACUUUUUCGUGGGGGAUAAUGUAGGGAAACUUACGCUAAUACCGCAUACGACCUACGGGUGAAAGCAGGGGAUCUUCGGACCUUGCGCGAUUGAAUGAGCCGAUGUCGGAUUAGCUAGUUGGCGGGGUAAAGGCCCACCAAGGCGACGAUCCGUAGCUGGUCUGAGAGGAUGAUCAGCCACACUGGAAUUGAGACACGGUCCAGACUCCUACGGGAGGCGGCAGUGGGGAAUAUUGGACAAUGGGCGCAAGCCUGAUCCAGCCAUACCGCGUGGGUGAAGAAGGCCUUCGGGUUGUAAAGCCCUUUUGUUGGGAAAGAAAAGCAGCAGGUUAAUACCCCGCUGUUCUGACGGUACCCAAAGAAUAAGCACCGGCUAACUUCGUG